rnacentral:lncRNA from 1 species
UCUGGGAUGUGAGGAGCCCCUCUGCCUGGCUGCCCAGUCUGGAAAGUGAGGAGCGUCUCUGCCCGGCCGCCAUCCCAUCUAGGAAAUGAGGAGCGUCUCUGCCCGGCCGCCCAUCGUCUGAGAUGUGGGAAGCGCCUCUGCCCCGCCGCCCCGUCUGGGAUGUGAUAAGCGCCUCUGCCCGGCCGCGACCCCGUCUGAGAAGUGAGGAGACCCUCUGCCUGGCAACCGCCCCGUCUGAGAAGUGAGGAGUCCCUCCGCCCGGCAGCCACCCCGUCUGAGAAGUGAGGAGCCCCUCCCUCCGUCAGCCACCCCGUCUGGGAAGUGAGGAGCGUCUCCACCCGGCAGCCACCCCCGUCCGGGAGGGAGGUGGGGGGGUCAGCCCUCCGCCCGGCCAGCCGCCCCGUCCGGGAGGUGCGGGGCGCCUCUGCCCAACCGCCCCUACUGGGAAGUGAGGAGCCCCUCUGCCCGGCCAGCUGCCCCGUCCGGGAGGGAGGUGGGGGGGGUCAGCCCCCCGCCCGGCCAGCCGCCCCGUCCGGGAGGUGAGGGGUGCCUCUGCCCGGCCGCCUCUACUGGGAAGUGAGGAGCCCCUCUGCCCGGCCACCACCCUGUCUGGGAGGUCUACCCAACAGCUCAUUGAGAACCGGCCAUGAUGACAAUGGCGGUUUUGUGGAAUAGAAAGGGCGGAAAGGUGGGGAAAAGAUUGAGAAAUCGGAUGGUUGCCGUGUCUGUGUAGAAAGUAGACAUGGGAGACUUUUCAUUUUGUUCUGUACUAAGAAAAAUUCUUCUGCCUUGGGAUCCUGUUGAUCUGUGACCUUACCCCCAACCCUGUGCUCUCUGAAACAUGUGCUGUGUCCACUCAGGGUUAAAUGGAUUAAGGGCGGUGCAAGAUGUGCUUUGUUAAACAGAUGCUUGAAGGCAGCAUGCUCAUUAAGAGUCAACACCACUCCCUAAUCUUAAGUACCCAGGGACACAAACACUGCAGAAGGCCGCAGGGUCCUCUGCCUAGGAAAACCAGAGACCUUUGUUCACUUGUUUAUCUGCUGACCUUACCUCCACUAUUGUCCUAUGGCCCUGCCAAAUCCCCCUCUGCGAGAAACACCCAAGAAUGAUCAAUUAAAAAAUAAAUAAAUAAAUAAAUUUAAAAAAAAAAAAAACAAAAGUCAGCCAAAAAAAAAAAGAAAAAAAAAUCAUACAAACUUAAAUUUCCAGAAAAUAGAAAAAGGAAAUACUGCCCAUAUGUGGCAUAUAUAAAAUAACCUUUAUGGUAGAGACUGCUAAUUGUCCUAUUACCUAUUCUCCCCUUGUCUUUCACAGCAAAAGAAUCUUUGCUUUUAAGUUCAAAUAAAGGCCACACUUCCCAGCCUUCCUUGCAGCUGAGUGUAGCCAUAUGACUAAGUUCUGGCCAAGAGAAGUAGAAAUGGGGUAUGCAAGUUUUGAUUCAUGCUCAAAAGUCAGAGACAUGCCGUUUCUUCACCCUGCCACUUAGAAAGUACAUGAGCUAUUUGGACCAUACGAACUAGGGGUGGUUAAGCAGAACCACCAAACCAGCCCUGGACCACCAACCUCCAGAUAAUACAGGACAGAAAAAAAAAACUUCCCUCUCAUUCACGUCACCACUAUUUUUGGUAUCCGUUACAUACAGCCAAACCCAUGUACCAAGCAGAUCAUCCUACAUACCAACACCAGAAAUGUAUCGUAUGAGAAAGGAAAAUUGAGACCCAAUCUCACUUAUGAUUAUAGAUGCAAAAUCCUAAAUAAACUGUUAGCAAAUGGAAUCAAGUAUUAUACUUAAGAAAAAUUAUGACUAAGUUGGGUUUAUGUCAUGAUUGCAGGGAUGACUUUAACAUUAGAAAAUACAUUAAUGUAAGUCUCCACAUUAAGAGAUUAAAAAUUAAAACCAUAUGAUGAUGCCAGAAUAAAUUCAAUACCCAUUUAUAAUAAUAACGCUUAAUAAUCUAGGAAUAGAAAGGAACAUCUUGACCAACAAGCAAAAACCUACUGCAAUCUUAUUUUUUUUUUUUUAGUGGGGUUUCACCACGUUGCCCUCACUGGUCUCAAACUCCUGAGCUCAAAGGAUCCACCUACCUCGGCCUCCCAAAGUGCUGGAAUUACAGGCAUGAGCCACCACACCCAGCCUGCAAUCUUAUUCUUAACAUUAAAUUAUUCUUAACAGUAAAUGAAUGAACAGUAAAUGCUUUAAAAUUGUUCCUGUUAAAGUCAAACACAAGGAAAGGAUUCUUGCUAUUAUCACUUUAUUCAACAUUAAUUUGAAGGUUCUGACCAUUACACUAAGGAAAACAUUUUUUCAAGGUCUAAGGAUUGGAAAAAAACAAGGAUAUGAUACAAUUGCCUCCAGAGAAGAAACAAGCAGGGCAAAACACAAGGCCUAUCAGGAUAAAAAGCUGAUGCAACUGGACUCCGUCCCAUAGAUGAGCUGAAGCAAAAGGACCUUCACACAGAACUUUUAUCAUCAGCCUGAGGAAAAGUACUCGAAGGACAAGGCCAUUGGUUGGGAACUUACACCAAAAAAAAAAAAAGAAAAAAAACCUGAAUUAUAGAUACUAUGAAUAUGAUGAAAAUAAGCAGAACGGACCGGGUGCAGUGGCUCACACCUGUAAUCCCAGCACUUUGGGAGGCCGAGGCAGACAGAUCACCCGAGGUCAGGAGUUCGAGACCAGCCUGGCCAACCAUGGCCAACAUGGUGAAGCCCCGUCUCUACUAAAAAUACAAAAAUUAGCCAAGCACAGUGGCGCACACCUGUAAUCCCAGCUACUCGGGAAGCUGAGGCAGAAUUGCUUGAACCCAGGAGGCAGAGGUUGCAAUGAGCCAAGAUCGUACCACUGCACUUCAGCCUGGGAGACAGUGCAAGACCCCAUCUCAAAAAAAAAAAAAGAGGAAGGAAAAGACAAGACUGAUGGGAUAGGAGGGUGUGAAAGGAACUUUAUUAUUAGGAAGAAUAUAAAUAAUUAAAAAUUAUUCAAUGAAGUAGCAUAAAGUCAAAUUAAAGCAACUACAUUAACAAGAAAAUAGAAUGUAUAGUUUUCAAAACAUGAGAAGAAUGUUGGCUCUAUGUAAUGGAAAGUAACAAAGGUGGGGAAAGAAACAACAAAGAAGGCACAGUACAUGAAAAAUAUAAAAUUAAAUGGCAGAAUAAGUCCUAAUAUUAUAGUAAUUGUAAUAAAGAUGGGUAAAGUAAACACACUUCUUAAAAGACAAACGUUCCUGGGUUGAGUUUCUUCCUUAAGGUUCAGCAAUAUGUUGCAUACAAGAGAAACACUGAAAAUAAAAAAACUUUAUCACGGGCUGGGCGCAGUGGCUUAUGCCUAUAAUCCCACCACUUUGGGAAGCCAAGGCAGGCGGUUCACCUGAGGUCAGGAGUUCGAGACCAGCCUGACCAACAUGGAGAAACCUCAUCUCUACUAAAAAUACAAAAAAAUUAGCCAGGCGUGGUAGCACAUGCCUAUAAUCCCAGCCGCUCGGGAGGCUGAGGCAGGAGAAUCGCUUGAAUCUAGGAGGUGGAGGUUGCAGUGAGCCAAGAUCACACCAUUGCACUCCAGCCUGGGCAACAAGAGUGAAACUCCAUCUGAAAAAAAAUAAAAAACCAUUUCAAAUAUUUAAACAAGAAAAUAGAAGGAAUAAACAAAAGGAAGAAAAUACAUGAAGCAAAUAUAAACCAAAAAAAAAUCAGGGAAGUAAUUUUAAUAUUUGACAAAAGAGGAUACAAGAGGAAAAAUAUAAAAGACAAAGAAUGAGGUAAUACAAGAAAAUACAAACACCAGGAACAUAAAAGCACCUACUCAUAUAGCCUCAAAAUAUAUAAAACAACAACUGAUAAAAUUUCUGAGGCUGGGUGUGGUGGCUCAUGCCUAUAAUCCCAGCAUUUAGAGAGGCCAGGGUGGGAGGACUGCUUGAGCCCAGGAGUUCCAAGACCAGCCUGGGCAGAAUAGUGGGACCUCAUCGCUAUUAAAAAAUAAUAAUAAUUAAUUAAAAAUUAAAAAGAAAAAAUGUUUUUUGGAAGAAAUAGAUUAAUUAUGGUUAGAGAUUUUUUACACACCUUUCUCUGAAACUGGUUGAUCAAGGAGACAAAAAUAAGCAGAGGUAUAAAAUAGCUGUAUAAUAUCAUUGGUAAAUUCAAGCUAUUGGGCUGGCCAUGGUGGCUCAUUCCUGUAAUCCCAGAACUUUGGAGGGCCAAGAUGGGUGGAUCACCUGAGGUCAGGAGUUCCAGACCAGCCUGGCCAACAUGGCAAAACCCCAUCUCAACUAAAAAUACAAAAAUUAGUUGGGCAUGGUGGUGGGCACCUGUAGUCCCAGCUACUAGGGAGGCUGAGGCAGGAGGAUCACUUGAACCCAGGAGGCAGAGGUUGCAGUGAGCCGAGAUCACACCACCACACUCCAGCCUGGGCAACAGAGCGAGACUCCACCUCAACAACAACAACAAAAAAUUUAAGCUAUUGGUGUAUAUAGAAUUUCACACCCAACAAAGAGAAAAUACAUAAUCUUUUCUAGCAUGUAUGUAUCACGUAAUAUUGAAUAUGUUGGAUGCUAUAAAGAAAGCCUUGAAAAAUUUCAGAGACUCACUAUUAUCAGAUUAAGGCCAGAUGUGUUGGCUCACACCUAUAAUCCCAGCACUUUGGGAAGCUGAAGCAGGAGGAUCGCUUGAGCCCAGGAAUUCGAGGCUGCAGUGAGUUAUGAUUGUGCCAUUGCACUCCAGCCUGGGCAACAGAGCAAAACGCUGUCUCAAAAAAAAAAAAAAAAAAAAAAAAAAGGGCCACCUGUAAUCCCACCACUUUGGGAGCCCAAGGAGGGCAAAUCACAAGGUCAGGAGAUCAAGACCAUCCUGGCUAACACGGUGAAACCCUGUCUCUACUAAAAUUAGCCGGGUGUGGUGGCAGGCGCCUGUAGUCCCACCUACUCAGGAGGCUGAGGCAGGAGAAUGGCAUAAACCUGGGAGGUGGAGCUUGCAGUGAGCUGCCAUCACGCCACUGCAUUCCAGCCUAGGCGACAGAGCGAGACUCCAUCUCAAAAAAAAAAAAAAAAGUUUGCAAUAUUAUACAGAUUAUGUUUUUCUGACUGCAAUGCAACAAAAUUUUUAAAUUAAUAGAUAAUAACGGCCAAGUGCGGUGGCUCACGCCUGUAAUCUCAGCACUUUGAUAGGCCGAGGCUGGCAGAUCACCUGAGGUCAGAAGUUCAAGACCAGCCUGGCCAACAUGGUGAAACCCUGUCUCUACUAAAUAUACAAAAAAUUAGCUGGGCAUGGUGGUGAGCGCCAGUAAUCCCAGCUACUCAGGAGGCUGAGGCAAGAGAAUCGCUUGAACCUGGGAGGCAGAGGUAGCAGUGAGCCAAGAUCGAGCCAUUGCACUCCAGCCUGGGCAACAGGGCAAGAGUCCGUCUCAAACAAACAAAAAUAGAUAAUAAAAUAGUUUUAAAAUAAAUCACCCAAAAAACUGAAAACAGCCCAAUGUCCAUCAAUAGGACUAUAGAUAAAUAGGGUAUUUUCAUACAAUGAAAUAUGAUAGAGUAGUAAAAAUGAAUGA